rnacentral:tRNA from 7 species
GGAGGAAUACCCAAGUCCGGCUGAAGGGAUCGGUCUUGAAAACCGACAGGGGCUUCACGGCCCGCGGGGGUUCGAAUCCCUCUUCCUCCGCCA